GUGCUCACUUCGGCAGCACGUAUACUAAAACUGGACUGGUACAGAGAGGAUUAGCACACCUCUGCACAAGGAUGACACACGCAUUUGUGAAGACUUCCACAUUUUU
ensembl:snRNA U6 U6 spliceosomal RNA